UCCAGCGUGGUUUAGUGGUUUGAAUGUUGGACUAGGUCUCCAGGAGACCAGGGUUCAAAUCCUCUGCUCACCCAUGGAA